UGGGGAAUAUUGGGCAAUGGGCGCAAGCCUGACCCAGCAACGCCGCGUGAGGGAAGAAGGUUUUCGGAUUGUAAACCUCUGUCCUAUGUGACGAAGGAAGUAGACGGUAGCAUAGGAGGAAGCCCCGGCUAACUACGUGCCAGCAGCCGCGGUAAUACGUAGGGGGCGAGCGUUGUCCGGAAUUACUGGGCGUAAAGGGUGCGUAGGCGGUUUGGUAAGUUGGAUGUGAAAUACCCGGGCUUAACUUGGGGGGCUGCAUCCAAUACUGCUGAACUUGAGUGCAGGAGAGGAAAGCGGAAUUCCUAGUGUAGCGGUGAAAUGCGUAGAUAUUAGGAGGAACACCGGUGGCGAAGCGGCUUUCUGGACUGUAACUGACGC
rnacentral:rRNA from 1 species